UACGAAGGGGGCUAGCGUUGUUCGGAAUUACUGGGCGUAAAGCGCACGUAGGCGGACUGUUUAGUUGGGGGUGAAAGCCCAGGGCUCAACCCUGGAAUUGCCUUUAAGACUGCAUCGCUAGAAUUGUGGAGAGGUAAGUGGAAUUCCGAGUGUAGAGGUGAAAUUCGUAGAUAUUCGGAAGAACACCAGUGGCGAAGGCGACUUACUGGACACAUAUUGACGCUGAGGUGCGAAAGCGUGGGGAGCAAACAGG
rnacentral:rRNA from 1 species